rnacentral:other from 1 species
AAGUGUCUAGAGGAUGCGAUUCUAGCAAAUAUAAAACCGACUAAAUUAACGAUAAGGGAAUCUUGAAAUCAGUUUAUCCGUGUUGAAUGCCUUUUAUUAGGAAUCCUAAAGAUAAAAUAAAGAUGCCCACCUGUACAAAGACAGGUUUUAUCGUAUGCAAAGACCGCUCCUAUUGGACUUUUU